rnacentral:lncRNA from 1 species
ACUGGGCUGCCCCUUCAGCAUGGGAAAGGCGCGGGCUGGACAAGGACUCUUUGUUUGACUUUAACACAGCAGAGGUACACUUGAGGAGCACUCGCAGGCUAAAGAGCCAGGCUGAAGGUCAUCGUUAGCUCCAAGUCUUGUGAAAAAGAAAAAAAAAAGAAAAAAAAUCAAGCAUUCUUUCCUGUUUUCUCAUUCCUACAAACUUCAAAUCUCGGAUUAAACGACAAUUCUCCCCAGUUUUGAAUCAUUUCCACACGUGCGGUCAGAUAAAACACACCUGUGGGAUGCUGACAGGUGAGAUCAAGCGGACGGGACAAAGAGCUGCACCUACCAUCCACCAGGUCCUGGCUGAGACGUCGUAACAAAGCUGCCAUUUGACGGACCUCUCCAUCAGCUUCCCUGCCAUCUUUGCGGUCCGCUCGGCCGUGUGGAGGACAAGACAGCUAAUCAAGGGGCGACGUCAGUGGAGGCAUGCUGUGCCACAUGUAGGCCCGUCCUUAACAAUGUUGCAUGAUGGGAAAUUUAAAAAAAACAAUCAGCAACAGCUUGACCAGUGCCUUGAACCUGACGGAGGCGCAGCUGGACUUCCCCGCAGAAGCCGUGGGUGAGCCCGACCACCACAACUCUGCCUCAGCUGCAGAAAUUUGAAGAGAGCCGUCCAGUAGAUUAUGCUUUAACCGCAUCUUUCAACACACAAAUGUUGUUAGGGUCACCUGGAAACGGUUUGUGUGCGCCGUCCUUCCAGAACGUGCGUACUGAGGUUGACCUUUUCCACACAGGCGACUAACAGAAGGCCAUAAUUAACUGCUGGUUAAUGGAGCGAGCUCUUUAAGUGGGAGAACAAAGAGACACCGAACGAGUCAGCGGAAAAGAAAAUGUCAGCUCCUCACAGAGACAAAGGGGCGCAAACGUCCUUCUCAGGGAGAAGACUUUUUAAAAAACACGAGGUCAAAGUUUAAACUUUAUAAAUAUGGAAUAAAUACAAGAAAAGAAAGAAGACUGAUUUUUGGAAUCAGAUGUUGAUGAAGACUUUUGGAACCUGGAGCUGACCUGGGUUCUUGAACGCACAUUAAGCCCAUGAUGUUCACACUGUACAAGCAGGGAGGGGCUUCUUUUGUUUUCAACUUUCUAUCAGCACAUGACCAAUACCUACAGUUGGAAGAGGCUUUCUGGGAAAUUUGAAAGCGGUGCAAUCUUGCUAAUCUUUCGCCAGGCUUUUUAUU